UGAGAGGAUGAUCCCCCACACUGGGACUGAGACACGGCCCAGACUCCUACGGGAGGCAGCAGUGAGGAAUCUUGCGCAAUGGGCGAAAGCCUGACGCAGCCACGCCGCGUGCCGGAAGACGGCCCUAUGGGUUGUAAACGGCUUUUAAAAGGGAAGAACGCCCGGGUUUCGACCUGGGGUGACGGUACCUUUUGAAUA
rnacentral:rRNA from 1 species